AGUGCGCGAGUGGUGUUGCACCGUUGCCGGAAAUCGGUUGCCGGAACUUGAUUGCCGGCGAGCUUAACGGUCCCAAUUUCAUAAGCGGAACGUUCGAUUAAGACAGCGAAAAUUCUCCGUUACAAGGUCCCAAUUUCAUAAGCGGAACGUUCGAUUAAGACAGCGAAAAUUCUCCGUUACAAGGU